rnacentral:tRNA from 25 species
GGAGGAAUACCCAAGUCCGGCUGAAGGGAUCGGUCUUGAAAACCGACAGGAGCUUAACGGCUCGCGGGGGUUCGAAUCCCUCUUCCUCCGCCA